UUCUAUAAUUUUAGCCUGAAAAGAAUUUAUAAUUACCUCAAAAAAUGAAUUAUCAACUGUAUACUAAUAUCUUUACUUAUCUUUAGAGACAAGAAGAAGAAGAAGAGGAAGAAGAGGAAGAGGAAGACUGACAGACAGACAUUCCAUUGAGUGUGCGGUGUCCCGCAGGCAGGCAGACCGAGACGCCAGCCAUUCAAUUCUGCCGAGGGAAGGAAGUCGUGUUAGUCAACUCUGAUGACUUGUACUUUUCUCUGCAAGGGACUGUUCUGUAAGCCAGUCACAGAAGAUGUGAACUGUAUCUGUACUAUGAAGUCUUAUAAAUAAAGUUAAAGGCUACA